rnacentral:misc_RNA from 1 species
AAGUCGUAACAAGGUUUCCGUAGGUGAACCUGCGGAAGGAUCAUUAUCGAGUUUAAAUUCAUACUUGCUGUGCAUUCACUUGCACGUAGGUUUGAAUAUUCAAACUUUACACCCCUGUGCACCUUCGGGCUUGCCACAUCACGCAAUCUGGGUUGCGGUGGCAUGUCUCGUUUUUUACACCUUUUUGUAUGUUUCUGAUUAAAACUUUUGAUUGCCCUGUGAUGGGGUGGUAGAAUCAAACAAAAUACAACUUUCAGCAACGGAUCUCUUGGCUCUC